rnacentral:rRNA from 1 species
AAAGGUAGCAUAAUCAGUUGACUUAUAAUUGAAGUCUGGAAUGAAUGAAUACACGGGUGGUAGCUGUCUUUAAAACUAAUAUAUAAAUUUAAUAAUCAAGUGCAAAUGCUUGAAAUUAUAAAAAAGACGAGAAGACCCUAGAAACUUUUAAAUAAUUUUUGUUGGGGCGACAGAAUUACAAAUAACUAAUUUUAUAUUACUUGAAGUAAUACGGAGAGAUAAAGUUACUCUAGGGAUAACAGCAUAAUUUUUAUAAGUUUGUGACCUCGAUGUUGGACUAGGUAAAAUAGUUUUUAGAAGAAUCUUUUUUUGCUCUGUUCGAGCAGUAACACCUACAU